GCAUCGGUGGUUCAGUGGUAGAAUUCUUGCCUUCCGUGCAGGACCCAAGGUCGAUUCCCGGCCAAUGUU
rnacentral:tRNA from 1 species